UGAACGCUGGCGGCGUGCUUAACACAUGCAAGUCGUACGAGAACACCCUAGCUUGCUAGGGUAAGUAAAGUGGCGCACGGGUGAGUAACGCGUGGGUAAUCUACCUUCGAAUUGGGGAUAACGUUGCGAAAGCGACGCUAAUACCGAAUAACAUCCAUUAAUCUUCGGGUUUUUGGAUCAAGGGUGGCCUCUACAUGUAAGCUACUGUUUGAAGAUGAGCCCGCGUACCAUUAGCUUGUUGGUGGGGUAAUGGCCUACCAAGGCUUCGAUGGUUAGCUGGUCUGAGAGGAUGAUCAGCCACACUGGAACUGACACACGGUCCAGACUCCUACGGGAGGCAGCAGUGAGGAAUUUUGCGCAAUGGGGGAAACCCUGACGCAGCAACGCCGCGUGAGUGACGAAGGCUUUCGGGUCGUAAAGCUCUGUCAAGUGGGAAGAACCUACAGUAUGCUAAUAUCAUAUUGUACUGACGGUACCACUGAAGGAAGCACCGGCUAACUCC
rnacentral:rRNA from 1 species